GAGGAGGGGCAGGUCAGGUGCCCAGUCCAGAGAGGAGGAGUUGAAGAUGACAAGCCGCACCCCACCUCCCCCCAACUCACUUGGGACUGGAUCCACCCUGAGGAGCCUCGGGUCAACAUCCUGUUUCCGGCAAGCCCUCCUGGAGGCCACAGAGGGGUGUUUGUUCGCAGUGGGCGACGGGAGAGAUGCUAAUCACGUUGGAUAGCUGGUCCCAGCUGAAGGUCAGGAGGAUCCAUCAUUUACCUACCAAGAUAACUACCUUACUUACCAUAAACGUGAAUGAUGCAGGCGGCUAGAGGGCUCGCUCGGUAGCUAAAAGUGAUUGCUACACAGGGGUAGCAAUCUGAAUUCAGUCCCCAGGAGCCAUGGAAAGCAGGAAGGAGAUGACCAGCUGCGUGGUUAGCUUCUGACUUCCCCACACGUGCUGUGACCCACACCCACACCAAUAAAUAUAUUUCUACUUUAUGCGUA
ensembl:processed_transcript RIKEN cDNA B230206L02 gene